rnacentral:misc_RNA from 1 species
GGGGAGGAGGGGGCUCCUCCCUGCUUGGGUGUGGGAAAUCGGUGGGUUUGCAUAUGAAAUCAUAUGCAAACCUCCCGUUUCUCCCGUAACCCUUGCUUUUCCCAAACGUUGGCUCGGAUGUCCCGUCGUUCUCCUGUCCCGUGUACGACUCAUGCCAAAUUCUGAUCCGUCGGUCGAACGGCUGUUCGGGUUGCAGAAAAGUACGUAUCGUGUCCGCACACGGUCAGGUCGAUGUGAUCUCGUGCCGCGUUGUCCCGUCGGUCCCGUGUACGAAUCGUGCCAAAUUCUGAUCCGACGGUUCAACGGCCGUUCGGGUUGCAGAAAAGUUCGUAUCGUUUCGCACACGGUCAGCUUGACGGGAUAUCGUGCAGCCUUGUCCCUGCCGGUCCCGUGUACGUGUCCCGUGAAAUUCUGACCCAACAGCCUAACUUGGCUCGGGAAACAGGAAAGUAGCAUAUCCCGUGCAUGAGACCGACUAGACAAAGUUGCAACGACGUUGCCUUUCGGAAUAUAGUUGCCCCCAAAACUUAUCGUUGCGGGGGUGACACACGCGUGAUGUGGUCUCUCUGGACGCCUCCUUCGAGUAAACCUCCCGUGCAUUGCACGGGCGGAUGCUCGGUUGGCUUGACCGAUGUAGGCUACUAAACGCAUGAGCAGCUUUGGACCCGUGUCUGCUGGUAGAUCCCCCGUCGUUCGACGGCCGACUAUUGGCGCCGUGUCCUACCAAUCAGUUGGCUUUGUACCAUCGAUGGAUCAGGAAGUGCUUGCAUAUGAGUACCCGACAUACGGGAAGUGGCGCGUGAAAUAUAUGUUGACACACGGCGGACGUCGUACGGGCGUUUUGCUGUGGCUGGAUUGCGCUUGUGGCGUUGCCUCGUAUCACGGGCAUGUAAUGUGCCUGUUGUUAUCAAGGCAACCUCGCUCGCGUCGUUGGUCUCGGAUGUUGCUCACGAUAAAGGCUCAUGGCCCAUUUGGUUGCCUCGACCCGACCCAAGCUCUUCGUGCUGAGAACAACCGGAACUAGGGUUGCCUCUACCUCUCCACAGUUACGUGGUAGGAUACGCAACUCUCUGUGCCGAUCCUCAUGAACGAUGAGCUAUGCCCGCUGGAAAUCGACAACCGGCUUGGCUGUUGCCUCUGCGUCUCUAUGCAAGUGGAACCGGAGGACGACAACCAAUGCUGGACGUCAUCGAGGACGUGC